rnacentral:rRNA from 1 species
CCUACGGGGUGCAGCAGUGAGGAAUAUUGGUCAAUGGCCGCAGGGCUGAACCAGCCAAGUCGCGUGAGGGAUGACGGUCCUAUGGAUUGUAAACCUCUUUUGUCAGGGAGCAAAGGGCGCCACGUGUGGCGCUUUGCGAGUACCUUAAGAACAAGCAUCGGCUAACUCCGUGCCAGCAGCCGCGGUAAUACGGAGGAUGCGAGCGUUAUCCGGAUUUAUUGGGUUUAAAGGGUGCGCAGGCGGAAUGUCAAGUCAGCGGUAAAAUUUCGGGGCUCAACCCCGUCGUGCCGUUGAAACUGGCGUUCUUGAGUGAGCGAGAAGUAGGCGGAAUGCGUGGUGUAGCGGUGAAAUGCAUAGAUAUCACGCAGAACUCCGAUUGCGAAGGCAGCAUACCGGCGCUCAACUGACGCUCAUGCACGAAAGCGUGGGUAUCGAACAGGAUUAGAUACCCCAGUAGUC